rnacentral:lncRNA from 1 species
UCUUUUUCUCCCUUCCCUUCAGUGAGAGUUUUAUUUUGUUUUGCUUUAGAUGUAGUGCAUAAAUGGUGGAAGGCUCUUUCAGAUUUAUUGAUUCGUAUUCCUUGAAUGUGUUCUAGAGAGGAGACAUCUCUAAGUGGCUUGUAUGUGGAGUUGGAUGCUUGUUAAAGGGACUCUUUCUAGACUUGUCAAAUUCGAGAGACGAAUCUUUAUCUUUUUGGUGCUUUGCAGUUCCAAGUAUUGCUUUUUCCUAUUUCUUGUUAGUUUGUGUUUUGCUUUUUAUUAUAGUUACAGAUUUUUUGCAACAAAAGACUCGUUCUUAUUGUCAUCUCCAAC